rnacentral:misc_RNA from 1 species
GAAAUGCGAUAAGUAGUGUGAAUUGCAGAAUUCAGUGAAUCAUCGAAUCUUUGAACGCACAUUGCGCCCUUUGGUAUUCCUUAGGGCAUGCCUGUUCGAGCGUCAUCUAAACCUUCAAGCCCUGCUUGGUGUUGGGUGCCUGUCCCGCCUCCGCGCGCGGACUCACCUCAAAUCCAUUGGCGGCCCCCGCGUCGGCCACGAGCGCAGCAGAAACGCGAACUCGUGAGCCCGUCCGGGCGGCUCCCAGAAGCUACACCCACCCAGUUUGACCUCGGAUCAGGUAGGGAUACCCGCUGAACUUAAGU